AAAUGUCCGUCGCAUGCGACGCGACAAAAACCACAAAUGAUACUAGAAAUUAGUAAAGGAAUAUACAUAUGUUUCACUGGGGCGGUGGUUCGUUAAAAAGUAACGCGAGCAAUCAAAGGCUUUGUAAAACCUAAACUAGAAAACAAAGCUUAACUGUAAGGAUCACAAGCCAAGCAGAUGUUCGUCUGGCGUGCGACGCGCUGAAAAGCAGGAAGUAAAGACCCAAUUAAAAUUGUCUUUUAAUUGAUCAACGGAUAAAAGGUACGCUAGGGAUAACAGGCUAGUACGCGCCUAGAGUUCAUAUCGACGCGCGUGUUCGGCACCUCGAUGUUGGAUCAUCGCGUCCUAAAGCUGCACAAGGUUUUAAGGGUUAGGUUGUUCACCUAUUAAAGCGGUACGUGAUCUGAGUUCAGAACGCUGCGAAGCAGUUCGGUUUCUAUCCGUGCUUAGUAAUGUGUGAUAUGUUAAGGAUUAUGAGUACGAAAGGACCAGUAGAUUCUAAACCUCUGGUGAAUUUGUUGUCAAAAAAGGCAUAGCAAAGAAGCUAAGUUUAUAAAAAAGCAUAAAACACAGGUAUAGUAUAUGAUAACAUAUAUGGAUUUGUAAGACUAAAAAGAGAGAUCUUAAAAAAAAGAAGAUA
rnacentral:rRNA from 1 species